rnacentral:lncRNA from 1 species
UGGCAUUGAAAGGAUAGUCAUAAGCUAGCAGAGUCUUAACACCAAACUGUUCUUUGCUUGAUGUCAUUUCCCAUUUCUUCAAAGGUACGUUUAACCUGUCCAGCACAACAGUCAAUAUGAACCCAUAUGGAGUAGCAUGUGCCUUAGAGCCAUUGAUUACCGUGUCUAGUAAUUUGACAAUUAAAGCAUGCCAGUUGAUUUGCAUUCCUCUCACCAGGAACUCCAUAAGAACCAAGUCCAUGUAAUUUGCAAUGUGUCUUCUCUCCUGUCUGGGCAAGAGGAACUUGUUGACAAAUUCAAAACAAGAUCUUGUGCUCAGGUCUCAUUUCACUCUUCUGCACAAAUCUAGCUUCAGGCAUAUCUUCAUAAUCACGAAACCUUCUAGUAAUUUCAACAGCAAUGGAAAGAGAAUCCAGACAUGGCAACCUUUGCCUUGUAUAAUCAUCAUACCCUUCAGUAGGUAUGUCUAGAAUCUCACCCAGUUUGAGUGCAUCAAACUUCACUUUCACUCAUUUUACCAAGCUGGUGACUACUCCAU